rnacentral:rRNA from 1 species
GAUGAACGCUGGCGGCGUGCCUAAUACAUGCAAGUCGAGCGAACGGACGAGAAGCUUGCUUCUCUGAUGUUAGCGGCGGACGGGUGAGUAACACGUGGAUAACCUACCUAUAAGACUGGGAUAACUUCGGGAAACCGGAGCUAAUACCGGAUAAUAUUUUGAACCGCAUGGUUCAAAAGUGAAAGACGGUCUUGCUGUCACUUAUAGAUGGAUCCGCGCUGCAUUAGCUAGUUGGUAAGGUAACGGCUUACCAAGGCAACGAUGCAUAGCCGACCUGAGAGGGUGAUCGGCCACACUGGAACUGAGACACGGUCCAGACUCCUACGGGAGGCAGCAGUAGGGAAUCUUCCGCAAUGGGCGAAAGCCUGACGGAACCACGCCGCGUGAGUGAUGAAGGUCUUCGGAUCGUAAAACUCUGUUAUUAGGGAAGAACAUAUGUGUAAGUAACUGUGCACAUCUUGACGGUACCUAAUCAGAAAGCCACGGCUAACUACGUGCCAGCAGCCGCGGUAAUACGUAGGUGGCAAGCGUUAUCCGGAAUUAUUGGGCGUAAAGCGCGCGUAGGCGGUUUUUUAAGUCUGAUGUGAAAGCCCACGGCUCAACCGUGGAGGGUCAUUGGAAACUGGAAAACUUGAGUGCAGAAGAGGAAAGUGGAAUUCCAUAUGUAGCGGUGAAAUGCGCAGAGAUAUGGAGGAACACCAGUGGCGAAGGCGACUUUCUGGUCUGUAACUGACGCUGAUGUGCGAAAGCGUGGGGAUCAAACAGGAUUAGAUACCCUGGUAGUCCACGCCGUAAACGAUGAGUGCUAAGUGUUAGGGGGUUUCCGCCCCUUAGUGCUGCAGCUAACGCAUUAAGCACUCCGCCUGGGGAGUACGACCGCAAGGUUGAAACUCAAAGGAAUUGACGGGGACCCGCACAAGCGGUGGAGCAUGUGGUUUAAUUCGAAGCAACGCGAAGAACCUUACCAAAUCUUGACAUCCUUUGACAACUCUAGAGAUAGAGCCUUCCCCUUCGGGGGACAAAGUGACAGGUGGUGCAUGGUUGUCGUCAGCUCGUGUCGUGAGAUGUUGGGUUAAGUCCCGCAACGAGCGCAACCCUUAAGCUUAGUUGCCAUCAUUAAGUUGGGCACUCUAAGUUGACUGCCGGUGACAAACCGGAGGAAGGUGGGGAUGACGUCAAAUCAUCAUGCCCCUUAUGAUUUGGGCUACACACGUGCUACAAUGGACAAUACAAAGGGCAGCGAAACCGCGAGGUCAAGCAAAUCCCAUAAAGUUGUUCUCAGUUCGGAUUGUAGUCUGCAACUCGACUACAUGAAGCUGGAAUCGCUAGUAAUCGUAGAUCAGCAUGCUACGGUGAAUACGUUCCCGGGUCU